GACGAACGCUGGCGGCGUGCUUAACACAUGCAAGUCGAGCGGUAAGGCCCUUUCGGGGGUACACGAGCGGCGAACGGGUGAGUAACACGUGGGUGACCUGCCCUCAGCUCUGGGAUAAGCCUGGGAAACCGGGUCUAAUACUGGAUAUGACUCCAUGACGCAUGUUGUGGGGUGGAAAGCCUUGUGCGGCUGAGGAUGGGCCCGCGGCCUAUCAGCUUGUUGGUGGGGUGAGGCCUACCAAGGCGACGACGGGUAGCCGGCCUGAGAGGACGACCAGCCACACUGGGACUGAGACACGGCCCAGACUCCUACGGGAGGCAGCAGUGGGGAUAUUGGACAAUGGGCNCAAGCCUGAUCCAGCGAUGCCGCGUGUGUGAAGAAGGCCUGCGGGUUGUAAA
rnacentral:rRNA from 1 species